CUGGGGAAGCCGUCUGCAGACAAACUGCCUGCGCAUUUACUGGAUCUGCCCCCAACUCCAACAUUCAGUCCCCAUUCUUCUGGGAAAAGCGCUCAGUUUACCCUGGGGGGAGACUCCCCUUCCCCCACUGGAGGAGUACCCCACCCCAUGGCCAGUGUGGUCCCAGGACCGGGGCACAGGCCCCCAGACUGUCUCUCCCAGGACCAAAUUUUGAACGCAGGGCUGCUAAGUGGAAGUGGCAGGAGCUGCUGGUCGCCUGGAGACCCCCGUUUCCUUGGUUUUGCCUCUAGAUCCCGCAUCCUGGAGACUCGUGGGUCCCGCUCCUCCUCAGCUCACUCUCCAGCUGCCCCCAGUGCCCCGAGCGCCCCCGUACGUACACACGUUGCUAGCUGUCCCAUCACGAGCAGCUUUGGUUUCUGUUGCGGGCAACCCUGGAGCCGGGAGCCUCCCUCCCGGGGGCGUCUCUACCAUCGGGUGCCCUGGCUUAUCUCCUGUCCUCAUAAAUUGCUCCACGCUGGGACAGCAGGAGGCAUGUGGGAAGGGCCUCACUCGAGACCCUCCCUGAAGCCUUCAGUGCUUGGAAGCUCUUCCAUGCUCCUGUGACCCGAGGAACCCGCUUCAAGUCCACAGACAACCCGGCGAGGCAGCAGGCUCCCUGCAGGGCACCGCGGUCCCCACCUACAAAUGAGGAAGCUGAGGCUCAGAAAGACCACGUGCCUGGCCCCAGAUCCCACAGGCAGAACCGGCACUCAAGACUGUUGGUUUAGGGUCCUUCCCACAGAUGGCUUCAUUAAGUGAUUGCAUUUUCCUUUGUCAAUAACAAUGUUAAUAUUGUUAAAAUACAAUAUUAUUAUUCACCAA